AUUUCUCACAAAAUAGCAAACAGAUGUAUAUGAGAGAAGGAAAGGAAGAGGAAGAGAGCGAAAGUUCGACCUCGCACCUCUUUAAACUUCCAGCGAAGUCGGCACACCAAGUGUUUGUGGAAAGCUCUAAGAAAGGAAAACUUGAAGUUAGAGGGUAAAAUAAGCUCAUGAAUCUAUAAAUCAUUUUGUAGGACAGAAACGGUGCUUUUGUAGCAAGAAAUUUCAGUGGAAUCCAAUCAAUGGAACAUGUGACAAACAAUGUUCGUUCGAUGAAGUUAUGACAGAUUUCAACUCUACAUUUCCUUUGUAUCUCCACUUCAGGAUAUGCACUGCUCUCGCUACUCUUAUUGAGAGGAAUUCUUCUGGUUUUUGGACACAAAAUCUGCAAUUCAGCUGGAAAACCAGGUGAAUGAUGAAGCAACUGGAGGAGAUCAAACGUAACGUCUCACUAUAUAUACUAUCGGCCAGAUUUAGCUAGCUAUAUUAUAGUGAUGCGGUACUUGGUGGUUAGAAGGAAAAUGAUUUAUAUGUACUUAUUAAAGUAUUUGUGGUACUAAAACAAAUAUUUAUAAGUUAGGUUUGAUUAAAUAUUUUCAUGUAUACUUUUAAUUUAAUUAUUUUGGAAAUUAUAAUAUAGAUA